ACGGGUGAGUAAUGCCUAGGAAUCUGCCUGGUAGUGGGGGAUAACGUUCGGAAACGGACGCUAAUACCGCAUACGUCCUACGGGAGAAAGCAGGGGACCUUCGGGCCUUGCGCUAUCAGAUGAGCCUAGGUCGGAUUAGCUAGUUGGUGGGGUAAUGGCUCACCAAGGCGACGAUCCGUAACUGGUCUGAGAGGAUGAUCAGUCACACUGGAACUGAGACACGGUCCAGACUCCUACGGGAGGCAGCAGUGGGGAAUAUUGGACAAUGGGCGAAAGCCUGAUCCAGCCAUGCCGCGUGUGUGAAGAAGGUCUUCGGAUUGUAAAGCACUUUAAGUUGGGAGGAAGGGCAGUAAAUUAAUACUUUGCUGUUUUGACGUUACCGACGGAAUAAGCACCGGCUAACUCUGUGCCAGCAGCCGCGGUAAUACAGAGGGUGCAAGCGUUAAUCGGAAUUACUGGGCGUAGAGCGCGCGUAGGUGGUUAGUUAAGUUGGAUGUGAAAUCCCCGGGCUCAACCUGGGAACUGCAUUCAAAACUGACUGACUAGAGUAUGGUAGAGGGGUGGUGGAAUUUCCUGUGUAGCGGUG
rnacentral:rRNA from 1 species